rnacentral:lncRNA from 1 species
GGACAACAACAUCAACUGGUGCCACCAAACCAACACGAGCAGGUGCUCUAACCUUGUACUUUGCAACUUCCUCACUCACUUCCUUCAAGUCGCCCUUGGUGAAGAUCAAUCCCACGUUACCAACAAGGAGGGGAAUGACAUUGAGGAUGGUACAACAUAUACCACAAUUAAGGUUGCAUGAUAAUAGAGAUGAAACUUCAAAUCAGUUAAACUAACAAUAACCUAUCGUGCUAAAAAUAUCCUCAUCAAUUAGUACAUGAAUGCAAGCGGAAUAAUUAGGUAUAGGGUAAAAUAUUGCUUGUUAUUGAUUAAAAAUAGACUUUGAACACAGUUACAUAGCCCAUAUUUGAACACCCUUACUUAAUUUCCUGGAUUCGCCACGGACUAUCAGAUUAGGAUGAAUUGGAUGGAUUCGCUUGACAAUGAUCUUCCAAUAUGAAAAGAUGACCAAUUUAUAUAAACUCCCAAUAUGAAAUUGAAAGCAAGAUGUAAUUAAUUCAAUCCAUUUUCAUAUAAUGGAAAUGACAUAUAAACUCCCAAGCUCAGGAUUACACAUAAAGCAAAUGACAUAAAGCAAUGUUUCAUCAUUUAAAUGUCAAUGAAGUGUGAUGAACAUGAAUUCCAUGAGACAUACAACCACAUAGAUGAUUACAAAAAGAAGCAAUAUAGUCAAUUUACCUUGUACUUGGCAACUUCCUCACUCACUUCCUUCAAGUCACCCUUGGUGAAGAUCAAUCCCACGUUACCCUAUCAGAAAAUUAAAAAUAAGCUGAGUUCAUUUAAUAAGCUAUUUGCAUACUUCCAAUACACUGAAGGACGAAUCAUGAUUCUAAUAUAGCAACUGAACAAGGCUCUUUCCAUUAUCUUUACAUGAUUAUUCAAGGAAUUUAACUAACUGGAAUGUCAAAGAACAGUAUCAAAGUAUUAGAAUGCUAACUCUGACGAAAGAAAAACAAAAAUAAUUAAAAGAGAUACGCCAGAAUAAAAAUAAGAAAACAAAAAAAGAUAACUUCCGAGCAUGCUUACACUAAGAUACCAUAAUUUUGGAUUGUUCAACAGAUUUCAAAAUUUAAACAAACCAGACAUAGUAAUAAAAUCAAAACUUACAACAAGGAGGGGAAUGAGAUUGAGGAUGGUAUUGUUGCCGGUUUUUUCAGCGUGGACUCGAAUAGUCCUCUUCAUCAUAGUGUUCUUUCCCAUGAGAACAAUGGAGUCACCUCUCAAACCCUUCCUAAUGUUUUGGAGCUGAGUGGAUCCAACGUUGUCAGCAGCAGCCACGAGCACCUGAGUGUACUCAUCCAAAAGUUGGCACAUCUUUGAGUCAUAAGCGAUCUUCUUCUCGGCCUUAGUUGCUUUAGGUGCCAUUGAUAAAGUUCCAGAUGUGAUUCCACAAACUAACUGUAUGUGAAUUUACAGAAGAACUAACAAAACCCUAAAAAGUGAAAGGAAGAGAUUUGGGGGGUGUUACAACAAAAUGAGGGCCAAGACUGGUUUCAGAGUUCAGCCAAGGCGGACAGCAACGGCGCCGUCACUUUAACCUCUUCGAUUCAGAUUU